rnacentral:rRNA from 1 species
UACAGAGGGGGCAAGCGUUGUUCGGAAUUACUGGGCGUAAAGGGCGCGUAGGCGGCCCUGUCAGUCGGGUGUGAAAGCCCGGGGCUCAACCCCGGAACGGCACCCGAGACGGCAGGGCUGGAGACCGGGAGAGGAGGGUGGAAUAGCCAGUGUAGAGGUGAAAUUCGUAGAUAUUGGCUGGAACACCGGUGGCGAAAGCGGCUCUCUGGCCCGGUUCUGACGCUGAGGCGCGAAAGCGUGGGGAGCAAACAGG